rnacentral:miRNA from 2 species
AUAUUACCAUUAGCUCAUCU